rnacentral:rRNA from 1 species
CACGUAGGGCGCAAGCGUUGUCCGGAAUCAUUGGGCGUAAAGCGCGUGUAGGCGGCCCGAUAAGUCCGCUGUGAAAGUCGGGGGCUCAACCCUCGGAAGCCGGUGGAUACUGUCGGGCUCGAGUACGGAAGAGGCGAGUGGAAUUCCUGGUGUAGCGGUGAAAUGCGCAGAUAUCAGGAGGAACACCAAUGGCGAAGGCAGCUCGCUGGGACGUGACUGACGCUGAGACGCGAAAGCGUGGGGAGCAAACAGG